rnacentral:rRNA from 1 species
GCGUAGGAAUCUACCUAGUAGUACGGAAUACCAUUAGAAAUGGUGGGUAAUACUGUAUAAUCCCCGAGGGGGAAAGAUUUAUCGCUAUUAGAUGAGCCUACGUUAGAUUAGCUAGUUGGUGAGGUAAUGGCUUACCAAGGCUAUGAUCUAUAGCUGGUCUGAGAGGACGAUCAGCCACACUGGAACUGAGAUACGGUCCAGACUCCUACGGGAGGCAGCAGUGGGGAAUAUUGGACAAUGGGCGAAAGCCUGAUCCAGCUAUGCCGCGUGAGUGAAGAAGGCCUUCGGGUUGUAAAACUCUUUCAAUAGGGAAGAUAAUGACGGUACCUAUAA